UUGUCGAUGGCAUCCGCUCUAUCAUGUCUCGGAUGCAUGCUUACUCGGACUUUAAAGAGGUGAUGAGGGUUUUUGUUCUCAUCCCUCAACGGCACUCAACGGCACGCAUUCAGCCAUGAGGGUUUUUUUUCUCAUCCCUCAACGGCACUCAGUCAGCAAUGAGGGUUUUUUUUCUCAUCCCUCAACGGCACUCAAUCAGCCCUCAACGGUACUCGAUUCAUAACCAUGCGAUGAGAUCAGAUCAACGAUUUCCAAAGAAUGGUCUAUGUUACCGUUUAAAAAAGCACCUGCCACCUCUUCUAUAUAUGGGCAAUUUAUUCAAGAAGCAGGGUAGAUUGUUCCCUAUUCUGUUCUUUUUGUUUGUUUUGUUUGUCUUUCCUUUUAUGUUUAUGGCAUGGCCAUGCCUCCUAUGCUUUUUUUUUCCCCUGUGUUUGGAUUUUUUUUCUCAGUUUGUUUUCAUGGUAGUUUAUAUAUGUGUGUCCGUGUGUGUCUCGGAUGGUAAUUGGAGGAGGGCAACAACGAGGAGAACUGAUUGGAGUUGCAGCCAAGAAAAUACUGAAAAAUGAUGCUUAUGUCCCACAAUAUUUUGGGGAUGAGGAUGGUGAGAUGGCAGGGGACCUCUGAAGGCCAUUGUUUGAAGAUGGUGAUUGGCUAUGAACCAGUGUUUUUGAGCUCCUUGGAUGUAGAACUACACAUUUGACAUAUUGUUGUGCUUUUAAGACAUUUCGCUAUGGUUUUGACACAUUCUAUUGUACAUCUAAUUGCCGGAGUCGUGCAUUUGAAGGUAUAACUGGUAGUUUAUUUUCAA